AUUGAACGCUGGCGGCAUGCCUUACACAUGCAAGUCGAACGGCAGCACGGACUUCGGUCUGGUGCCGAGUAGCGAACGGGUGAGUAAUGUAUCUGAACGUACCUUUCAGUGGGGGAUAACGUAGCGAAAGUUACGCUAAUACCGCAUAUUCUGUGAGCAGGAAAGCAGGGGAUCGAAAGACCUUGCGCUGAUUGAGCGGCCGAUAUCAGAGUAGCUAGUUGGUGGGGUAAAGGCCUACCAAGGCGACGAUCUGUAGCGGGUCUGAGAGGAUGAUCCGCCAGACGGGAGCUGAGACAGGGUCGAGACUCCGACGGGAGGCAGCAGUGGGGAAUUUUGGAGAAGGGAGGCAAGCGUGAUCCAGCCAUGCCGCGGGAGUGAAGAAGGCCUUCGGGUGGGAAAGCUCUUUCGGCCGGGAAGAAAUAGAAUAGGCUAAUACCCUGUGUGAAUGACGGUACCGGAAUAAGAAGCACCGGCUAACUACGUG
rnacentral:rRNA from 1 species